rnacentral:rRNA from 1 species
GGAAGGGGUGUAUUUAUUAGAUUAAAAACCAAUGCCCUUCGGGGCUCCCUGGUGAUUCAUAAUAACUUCUCGAAUCGCACGGCCUUGCGCCGGCGAUGGUUCAUUCAAAUUUCUGCCCUAUCAACUUUCGACGGCAGGGUCUUGGCCUGCCGUGGUGACAACGGGUAACGGAGGGUUAGGGCUCGACCCCGGAGAAGGAGCCUGAGAAACGGCUACUACAUCCAAGGAAGGCAGCAGGCGCGCAAAUUACCCAAUCCCGACUCGGGGAGGUAGUGACAAUAAAUACUGAUACAGGGCUCUUUUGGGUCUUGUAAUUGGAAUGAGUACAAUUUAAAUCCCUUAACGAGGAACAAUUGGAGGGCAAGUCUGGUGCCAGCAGCCGCGGUAAUUCCAGCUCCAAUAGCGUAUAUUAAAGUUGUUGAGGUUAAAAAGCUCGUAGUUGAACCUUGGGCCUAGCCGGCCGGUCCGCCUCACCGCGUGCACUGGCUCGGUUGGGCCUUUCUUUCUGGAGAACCCCAUGUCCUUCACUGGGUGUGGUGGGGAACCAGGACUUUUAC